UACGGAGGGUGCAAGCGUUGUCCGGAAUUACUGGGCGUAAAGGGCGCGUAGGCGGCUCAUGAAGGCUGUGGUGAAAGUCCGGGGCUCAACCUCGGAUCGGCCGUGGCGACUCGUGGGCUGGAGCACUGUAGAGGCGGGUGGAAUUCCGGGUGUAGCGGUGGAAUGCGUAGAGAUCCGGAAGAACACCAGUGGCGAAGGCGGCCCGCUGGGCAGUGGCUGACGCUGAGGCGCGACAGCGUGGGGGAGCAAACAGG
rnacentral:rRNA from 1 species